AACGAACGCUGGCGGCGUGGAUAAGACAUGCAAGUCGAACGAUCACUAUUGGGUAGCAAUAUUUGGUAGUGGGAGUGGCGCAAGGGUGCGUAACACGUGGGUAAUUUGCCGUAAAGUCUGGGAUAACUUGCUGAAAGGCGAGCUAAUACCGGAUGUGAUUGCUGGGGGGCAUCCUCUGGCACUUAAAGUCGGGGACCGUAAGGCCUGACACUUUUCGAUAAGCCCGCGGCCUAUCAGCUAGUUGGUGAGGUAACGGCUCACCAAGGCUAAGACGGGUAGCUGGUCGUGAGAGGACGGACCAGCCACACUGGAAC
rnacentral:rRNA from 1 species